rnacentral:misc_RNA from 1 species
GAUGAAGAACGCAGCGAAAUGCGAUACGUAAUGUGAAUUGCGGAAUUCAGUGAAUCAUCGAAUAUUUGAACGCAUAUUGCGCUCUCUGGUAUUCCGGAGAGCAUGCUUGUUUGAGUAUCAGUAAACACCUCAACUACCUUUUCUUUUUUGAAAUUGGAGCUGGACUUGAGUGAUCCCAACGCUUUCUUCCAAGAAAGUGGCGGGUUGCUUGAAAUGCAGGUGCAGCUGAACUUUUCUCUGAGCUAUAAGCAUAUCUAUUUAGUCUGCCUAAAAAACAGAUUAUUACCUUUGCUGCAGCUAACAUAAAGGAGACUAGUUCUUGUGCUGACUGAUGCAGGAUUCACAGAGACAGCUUCGGCUGACUUUGUAAACUCGAUCUCAAAUCAAGUAAGACUACCCGCUGAACUUAAGCAUAUCAAUAAGCGGAGGA